rnacentral:sRNA from 1 species
CUUUGGCAAAGGUACUGUGUUUCUCCGAACCUCGCCUGUGAAAGGGAUUUAAAGAUUUAAAGGGAUUUAAAGCCUGUCUUCAAGGGCUGCUGGGAGGAGUCGGUGAGAUGGAGCACAUCUAGUGCUUGGCGGAGUGCUUGGCACAUACUUGGCCCUGUCGGCAUUAACUGCUGUCCUCAGGCCCGGGCUCUGCUGGGGCUGUGUGAGCCGCCCAUGCCCAGCUCCAGCGGAGCACUAUUGUCUUGGCCAUGCUGGUUGGUAUCCUGUUUUUUACCCUAAAUUUUAAGAAGGGGCUUUUCCUUGUGGGUGUGGCUACAGUGCCUGAACCUGGGAGGAAUCUGAGGAGAGUGUGAUUGGGAAGGCCCCUUACAUGAUUCUGUUCCCAGCUGGGUGCCAAGAAAGGCCUAGGGGCCCAGAAGGUGAGCAGCCAGAGCUUCAGUGAGAUUGAGCGGCAGGCUCAGGUGGCAGAGAAGCUCCGUGAGCAGCAGGCAGCCGAUGCCAAGAAGCAGGCGGAGGAGUCCAUGGUCGCCUCCAUGCGUCUGGCCUACCAGGAGCU